rnacentral:misc_RNA from 1 species
GAUGAAGAACGCAGCGAAGUGCGAUAAGUAAUGUGAAUUGCAGAAUUCCGUGAAUCAUCGAAUCUUUGAACGCAAAUUGCACUCUCUGGCAACCCGGGGAGUAUACCUGUUUGAGGGUCAGUGUUAAUAAAAAUCGGUGCGUUGCAAUUUUUGUGACGUUUCCGGAGUUUGAGGUUAUCUUAACCCUUCUGUGGUUUAAGAGGCUUAAAAUUGACCUUUUUUUGUGCAUUUUAGACGUACAUAAAUCUUUUUUAUUCGUCCAUCCUAAUGCCAAAAUCUAUUAGAUGCGACCAUAUCAUGUGGUUCCGUAUCCAUAAAUUUUUCAUGAUUUGACCUCAAAUCAGGUAGGAACACCCGCUGAACUUAAGCAUAUCAAUAAGCGGAGGA